rnacentral:rRNA from 1 species
CUACCAUGGCAGUCACGGGUAACGGAGAAUUAGGGUUCGAUUCCGGAGAGGGAGCCUGAGAAACGGCUACCACAUCUACGGAAGGCAGCAGGCGCGCAAAUUGCCCAAUCCCGACACGGGGAGGCAGUGACAAGAAAUAACAACUCUAGGUUUUCUUAGAAGUGUAAUGAGGAUAAUUUACAAACCUUACCAAAUGCAAUUGGAGGGCAAGUCUGGUGCCAGCAGCCGCGGUAAUUCCAGCUCCGAUAGCGUAUAUUAAAGUUGUUGCAGUUAAAAAGCUCGUAGUUGAAAAUCUGGUUGCUCAGGUCUCCAGCCUUUAGGCGGGGAUUCUGACAGUCAUCCGCUUGCAAACAUAUGUUCGAUCUUCACCGGUUGGCUAUGUGAGUAAGCACUUUACCUUGAGAAAAACAGAGUGUUCCAGGCAGGUUUGUCCGGAAUGCAUUAGCAUGGAAUAAUAGAACAUGACUGAAGUCUAUUUAUUGGUUAAAGGCUUUAGUAAUGAUUAAUAGGAACAGUCGGGGGCAUUCGUACUCAGCAGUCAGAGGUGAAAUUCUAAGAUUUGCUGAAGACGAACUAAUGCGAAAGCAUUUGCCAAGGAUGUUUUCAUUAAUCAAGAACGAAAGUUAGGGGAUC